UACGGGGGGGGCAAGCGUCGUUCGGAAUUACUGGGCGUAAAGGGCGCGUAGGCGGCCUUCUAAGUCGGACGUGAAAUCCCUCGGCUUAACCGAGGAACUGCGUCCGAUACUGAAAGGCUUGAAUCCGGGAGAGGGAUGUGGAAUUCCAGGUGUAGCGGUGAAAUGCGUAGAUAUCUGGAGGAACACCGGUGGCGAAGGCGGCAUCCUGGACCGGUAUUGACGCUGAGGCGGCGAAAAGCUAAGGGGAGCAAACGGGG
rnacentral:rRNA from 1 species